GAUGAACGCUGGCGGCGUGCCUAAUACAUGCAGGUCGAACGAGGUCUUCGGACCUAGUGGCGAACGGGUGAGUAACACGUUGGUACCUACCCCGAAGUGGGGAAUAACUGCCCGAAAGGGUGGCUACUACCGCAUAAUACCGCAAGGUUAAAGCAGUAAUGCGCUUCGGGAGGGGCCUGCGUCUCAUUAGCUAGUUGGUAGGGUAAUGGCCUACCAAGGCGACGAUGGGUAGCUGGAUCGAGAGGUUGACCAGCCACACUGGGACUGAGAUACGGCCCAGACUCCUACGGGAGGCAGCAGUAAGGAAUCUUCCACAAUGGACGAAAGUCUGAUGGAGCAACGCCGCGUGCAGGAUGACGGCCUUCGGGUUGUAAACUGCUUUUAUACGGGAAGAUUAUGACGGUACCGUAUGAAUAAGGACCGGCUAACUACGUGCCAGCCGCCGCGGUAA
rnacentral:rRNA from 1 species